rnacentral:rRNA from 1 species
GAUGAACGCUGGCGGCGUGCCUAAUACAUGCAAGUCGAGCGAAUGGAUUAAGAGCUUGCUCUUAUGAAGUUAGCGGCGGACGGGUGAGUAACACGUGGGUAACCUGCCCAUAAGACUGGGAUAACUCCGGGAAACCGGGGCUAAUACCGGAUAACAUUUUGAACCGCAUGGUUCGAAAUUGAAAGGCGGCUUCGGCUGUCACUUAUGGAUGGACCCGCGUCGCAUUAGCUAGUUGGUGAGGUGACGGCUCACCCAGGCAACGAUGCGUAGCCGACCGGAGAGGGUGAUCGGCCACACUGGGACUGAGACACGGCCCAGACUCCUACAGGAGGCAGCAGUAGGGAAUCUUCCGCAAUGGACGAAAGUCUGACGGAGCAACGCCGCGUGAGUGAUGAAGGCUUUCGGGUCGUAAAACUCUGUUGUUAGGGAAGAACAAGUGCUAGUUGAAUAAGCUGGCACCUUGACGGUACCUAACCAGAAAGCCACGGCCAACUACGUGCCAGCCGCCGCAGUAA